rnacentral:rRNA from 1 species
GUGGGGAAUAUUGGACAAUGGGGGGAACCCUGAUCCAGCCAUGCCGCGUGUGUGAAGAAGGCCUUUUGGUUGUAAAGCACUUUAAGCGAGGAGGAGGCUACCGAGAUUAAUACUCUUGGAUAGUGGACGUUACUCGCAGAAUAAGCACCGGCUAACUCUGUGCCAGCAGCCGCGGUAAUACAGAGGGUGCAAGCGUUAAUCGGAUUUACUGGGCGUACAGCGCGCGUAGGUGGCCAAUUAAGUCAAAUGUGAAAUCCCCGAGCUUAACUUGGGAAUUGCAUUCGAUACUGGUUGGCUAGAGUAUGGGAGAGGAUGGUAGAAUUCCAGGUGGAGCGGUGAAAUGCGUAGAGAUCUGGAGGAAUACCGAUGGCGAAGGCAGCCAUCUGGCCUAAUACUGACACUGAGGUGCGAAAGCAUGGGGAGCAAACAGGAUUAGAAACCCCUGUAGUCC